rnacentral:misc_RNA from 1 species
UCACGGUAUCAAGCUUGGCUUGGUGUUGGGCCCUUUGUCACCUGGUGACAGGUCCGAAAGACAAUGACUGGUGUAACAGACUCCAUAUGCAACGAGCUGAUAACAGCACGCAUAUGGCAGUUGUGUGACCCGGUUUUCACCCUUUCUUUCUCAA